rnacentral:rRNA from 1 species
AAAGCCUCUAAGCAUCAGGUAACAUCAAAUCGUACCCCAAACCGACACAGGUGGUCAGGUAGAGAAUACCAAGGCGCUUGAGAGAACUCGGGUGAAGGAACUAGGCAAAAUGGUGCCGUAACUUCGGGAGAAGGCACGCUGAUAUGUAGGUGAAGCGACUUGCUCGUGGAGCUGAAAUCAGUCGAAGAUACCAGCUGGCUGCAACUGUUUAUUAAAAACACAGCACUGUGCAAACACGAAAGUGGACGUAUACGGUGUGACGCCUGCCCGGUGCCGGAAGGUUAAUUGAUGGGGUUAGCGGUAACGCGAAGCUCUUGAUCGAAGCCCCGGUAAACGGCGGCCGUAACUAUAACGGUCCUAAGGUAGCGAAAUUCCUUGUCGGGUAAGUUCCGACCUGCACGAAUGGCGUAAUGAUGGCCAGGCUGUCUCCACCCGAGACUCAGUGAAAUUGAACUCGCUGUGAAGAUGCAGUGUACCCGCGGCAAGACGGAAAGACCCCGUGAACCUUUACUAUAGCUUGACACUGAACAUUGAGCCUUGAUGUGUAGGAUAGGUGGGAGGCUUUGAAGUGUGGACGCCAGUCUGCAUGGAGCCGACCUUGAAAUACCACCCUUUAAUGUUUGAUGUUCUAACGUUGGCCCGUAAUCCGGGUUGCGGACAGUGUCUGGUGGGUAGUUUGACUGGGGCGGUCUCCUCCUAAAGAGUAACGGAGGAGCACGAAGGUUGGCUAAUCCUGGUCGGACAUCAGGAGGUUAGUGCAAUGGCAUAAGCCAGCUUGACUGCGAGCGUGACGGCGCGAGCAGGUGCGAAAGCAGGUCAUAGUGAUCCGGUGGUUCUGAAUGGAAGGGCCAUCGCUCAACGGAUAAAAGGUACUCCGGGGAUAACAGGCUGAUACCGCCCAAGAGUUCAUAUCGACGGCGGUGUUUGGCACCUCGAUGUCGGCUCAUCACAUCCUGGGGCUGAAGUAGGUCCCAAGGGUAUGGCUGUUCGCCAUUUAAAGUGGUACGCGAGCUGGGUUUAGAACGUCGUGAGACAGUUCGGUCCCUAUCUGCCGUGGGCGCUGGAGAACUGAGGGGGGCUGCUCCUAGUACGAGAGGACCGGAGUGGACGCAUCACUGGUGUUCGGGUUGUCAUGCCAAUGGCACUGCCCGGUAGCUAAAUGCGGAAGAGAUAAGUGCUGAAAGCAUCUAAGCACGAAACUUGCCCCGAGAUGAGUUCUCCCUGAGACUUUAAGUCUCCUGAAGGAACGUUGAAGACGACGACGUUGAUAGGCCGGGUGUGUAAGCGCAGCGAUGCGUUGAGCUAACCGGUACUAAUGAACCGUGAGGCUUAACCUUACAACGCCGAAG